rnacentral:miRNA from 1 species
AAUUAGAUUAAACAAAUUAUAUAUAUAACAUAUAGUAUUUUAUGUAUUAUAUAUAAUAUUAUAUAUAAAAAACCAGAAUUACAUUAAU